rnacentral:rRNA from 1 species
AGAGGUCCCAAGCGUUGUUCGGAUUCACUGGGCGUAAAGGGUGCGUAGGCGGUGGGGUAAGUCUGAUGUGAAAGCUCGCAGCUCAACUGCGAAAUGGCAUUGGAAACUACCCCGCUAGAGGAGUGGAGGGGGGACUGGAAUACUUGGUGUAGCAGUGAAAUGCGUAGAUAUCAAGUGGAACACCAGUGGCGAAGGCGAGUCCCUGGACACCUCCUGACGCUGAGGCACGAAAGCUAGGGGAGCAAACAGGAUUAGAUACCCUGGUAGUCCUAGCUGUAAACGGUGGGGCUUUUGCUGUAAAAGGAAUCGACCCCUUUUGUGGCGAAGCUAACGCGUUAAACGCGCCGCCUGGGGAGUACGGUCGCAAGAUUA